rnacentral:rRNA from 1 species
CAGUAGCCGCGGUAAUACGAAGGGGGCUAGCGUUGCUCGGAAUUACUGGGCGUAAAGGGAGCGUAGGCGGGUCGUUUAGUCAGAGGUGAAAUCCCGGGGCUCAACCUCGGAACUGCCUUUGAUACUGGCGACCUUGAGGAUGGGAGAGGUAAGCGGAACUCCGAGUGUAGAGGUGGAAUUCGUAGAUAUUCGGAAGAACACCAGUGGCGAAGGCGGCUUACUGGCCCAUUACUGACGCUGAGGCUCGAAAGCGUGGGGAGCAAACAGGAUUAGAUACCCCGGUAGUCCCUGUCUCUUAUAC